AUUGAACGCUGGCGGCAUGCCUUACACAUGCAAGUCGAACGGCAGCACGGGAGCAAUCCUGGUGGCGAGUGGCGAACGGGUGAGUAAUAUAUCGGAACGUGCCCAGUCGUGGGGAUAACGUAGCGAAAGCUACGCUAAUACCGCAUACGAUCUAUGGAUGAAAGCGGGGGAUCGCAAGACCUCGCGCGAUUGGAGCGGCCGAUAUCAGAUUAGGUAGUUGGUGAGGUAAAGGCUCACCAAGCCGACGAUCCGUAGCUGGUCUGAGAGGACGACCAGCCACACUGGGACUGAGACACGGCCCAGACUCCUACGGGAGCAGCAGUGGGAAUUUUGGACAAUGGGCGCAAGGCCUGAUCCAGCAAUGCCGCGUGCA
rnacentral:rRNA from 1 species